rnacentral:rRNA from 1 species
AGUCGAGCGGCAGCGGGAAAGUAGCUUGCUACUUUUGCCGGCGAGCGGCGGACGGGUGAGUAAUGCCUGGGGAUCUGCCCAGUCGAGGGGGAUAACUACUGGAAACGGUAGCUAAUACCGCAUACGCCCUACGGGGGAAAGCAGGGGACCUUCGGGCCUUGCGCGAUUGGAUGAACCCAGGUGGGAUUAGCUAGUUGGUGAGGUAAUGGCUCACCAAGGCGACGAUCCCUAGCUGGUCUGAGAGGAUGAUCAGCCACACUGGAACUGAGACACGGUCCAGACUCCUACGGGAGGCAGCAGUGGGGAAUAUUGCACAAUGGGGGAAACCCUGAUGCAGCCAUGCCGCGUGUGUGAAGAAGGCCUUCGGGUUGUAAAGCACUUUCAGCGAGGAGGAAAGGUUGGUAGCUAAUAACUGCCAGCUGUGACGUUACUCGCAGAAGAAGCACCGGCUAACUCCGUG